UACGAAGGGGGCGAGCGUUGUUCGGAAUUACUGGGCGUAAAGCGCACGUAGGCGGCUUCUUAAGUCGGUGGUGAAAUCCUGGAGCUCAACUCCAGAACUGCCUUCGAUACUGGGAAGCUCGAGUUCGGGAGAGGUGAGUGGAACUGCGAGUGUAGAGGUGAAAUUCGUAGAUAUUCGCAAGAACACCAGUGGCGAAGGCGGCUCACUGGCCCGAUACUGACGCUGAGGUGCGAAAGCGUGGGGAGCAAACAGG
rnacentral:rRNA from 1 species